rnacentral:tRNA from 1 species
AGUUAAGUAGCUUAGGUAAAGCUUAUAUUUUGAAAAUAUAGGAUAAAGGUUUAACUCCUCUAUUAACUU